rnacentral:rRNA from 1 species
AGUGAAGCGGCAACAGCUCAAAUUUGAAAUCUGGCCCCCUCGGGGCCCGAGUUGUAAUUUGUAGAGGAUGUUUCGGGUGUGGCUCCGGUCUAAGUUCCUUGGAACAGGACGUCAUAGAGGGUGAGAAUCCCGUAUGUGACUGGCAGCCUACGCCCAUGUGAAACUCCUUCGACGAGUCGAGUUGUUUGGGAAUGCAGCUCAAAAUGGGUGGUAAAUUUCAUCUAAAGCUAAAUAUUGGCCAGAGACCGAUAGCGCACAAGUAGAGUGAUCGAAAGAUGAAAAGCACUUUGGAAAGAGAGUUAAACAGUACGUGAAAUUGUUGAAAGGGAAGCGCUUGCAACCAGACUUGCGUGCGGCCGAUCAUCCGGUGUUCUCACCGGUGCACUCGGUCGUGCUCAGGCCAGCAUCGGUUUCGGCGGCUGGAUAAAGGCCAUGGGAAUGUAGCUCCUCUCGGGGAGUGUUAUAGCCCGUGGUGCAAUGCAGCCCGCUGGGACCGAGGACCGCGCUUCGGCUAGGAUGCUGGCGUAAUGGUUGUAAGCGACCCGUCUUGAAACACGGACCAAGGAGUCUAACAUCUAUGCGAGUGUUUGGGUGUCAAACCCAUACGCGGAAUGAAAGUGAACGGAGGUGAGAACCCUUAAGGGUGCAUCAUCGACCGAUCCUGAUGUCUUCGGAUGGAUUUGAGUAAGAGCAUAGCUGUUGGGACCCGAAAGAUGGUGAACUAUGCCUGAAUAGGGUGAAGCCAGAGGAAACUCUGGUGGAGGCUCGCAGCGGUUCUGACGUGCAAAU